rnacentral:rRNA from 1 species
UAGGGAAUAUUGGACAAUGGGUGAGAGCCUGAUCCAGCCAUGCCGCGUGCAGGAAGAAGGCGUUAUGCGUUGUAAACUGCUUUUUGCCAGGGGAUAAAAAGACCGUGCGCGGUUAAUUGAAGGUACCUGGUGAAUAAGCCACGGCUAACUACGUGCCAGCAGCCGCGGUAAUACGUAGGUGGCAAGCGUUGUCCGGAUUUAUUGGGUUUAAAGGUGCGUAGGUGGCCCUGUAAGUCAGUGGUGAAAUAUCUCAGCUUAACUGAGAGGGUGCCAUUGAUACUGCAGGGCUUGAGUACAGAUGAGGUAGGCGGAAUUGACGGUGUAGCGGUGAAAUGCAUAGAUAUCGUCAAGAACACCGAUAGCGAAGGCAGCUUACCAAGCUGUAACUGACACUGAGGCACGAAAGUGUGGGGAUCAAACAGGAUUAGAUACCCCCGUAGUCCCUGAGCGGGCUGGCAAGGCGCAU